ACAGGUGUAGCUCAAUUGGCAGAGCAGCGGUCUCCAAAACCGCAGGCUGCAGGUUCGAGUCCUGCCACCUGUG
rnacentral:tRNA from 2 species